rnacentral:rRNA from 1 species
GACGAACGCUGGCGGCGUGCUUAACACAUGCAAGUCGAACGAUGAUCUCCCGCUUGCGGGGGUGCUUAGUGGCGAACGGGUGAGUAAUACGUGAGUAACCUGCCCUUGACUCUGGGAUAAGCCUGGUAAACCGGGUCUAAUACUGGAUACUACUUCCUGCCGCAUGGUGGGGGGUGGAAAGGGUUUUACUGGUUUUGGAUGGGCUCACGGCCUACCAGCUUGUUGGUGGAGUAAUGGCUCACCAAGGCGACGACGGGUAGCCGGCCUGAGAGGGUGACCGGCCACACUGGGACUGAGACACGGCCCAGACUCCUACGGGAGGCAGCAGUGGGGAAGAUUGCACAAUGGGCGGAAGCCUGAUGCAGCGACGCCGCGUGAGGGAUGACGGCCUUCGGGUUGCAAACCUCUUUCAGCAGGGAAGAAGCCACAAGUGACGGUACCUGCAGAAGAAGCGCCGGCUAACUACGUG